rnacentral:rRNA from 1 species
GUGGGGAAUAUUGGGCAAUGGGCGAAAGCCUGACCCAGCAACGCCGCGUGAAGGAAGAAGGUCUUCGGAUCGUAAACUUCUAUCCUUGGUGAAGAUAAUGACGGUAGCCGAGAAGGAAGCCCCGGCUAACUACGUGCCAGCAGCCGCGGUAAUACGUAGGGGGCAAGCGUUGUCCGGAAUGAUUGGGCGUAAAGGGCGCGUAGGCGGACUGGUAAGUCUGGAGUGAAAGUACUGCUUUUAAGGUGGGAAUUGCUUUGGAUACUGUCGGGCUUGAGUGCAGGGGAGGUAAGUGGAAUUCCCGGUGUAGCGGUGAAAUGCGUAGAGAUCGGGAGGAACACCAGUGGCGAAGGCGACUUACUGGACUGUAACUGACGCUGAGGCGCGAAAGUGUGGGGAGCAAACAGGAUUAGAUACCCUAGUAGUCC